rnacentral:misc_RNA from 1 species
CAAAGUCCAAGCCUCUCACAUCCUCAGAUCCAAUCUUUAUCACAAUAGAUUCUGGAGAAGCUCGUUGAAUAGCUGUAACACCGUUAUCUGCCUUCGAAACUACCUUUAUCGAGUAAGUUGUGUCAGGGUGAAGUCCUCUCAGACGGAAAUUUCCCAAGCUAUCAGUUGCUGCUUCCUCAUAAUAGCCUUUGGAUUCAGAUCGAG